GGUUGACCUCGGAUCAGGUAGGGAUACCCGCUGAACUUAAGCAUAUCAAUAAGCGGAGGAAAAGAAACCAACCGGGAUUGCCUCAGUAACGGCGAGUGAAGCGGCAAGAGCUCAAAUUUGAAAGCUGGCUCCUUCGGAGUCCGCAUUGUAAUUUGCAGAGGAUGCUUUGGGUGCGGCCCCCGUCUAAGUGCCCUGGAACGGGCCGUCAGAGAGGGUGAGAAUCCCGUC
rnacentral:rRNA from 2 species